AGUGUCCCCGAAAGAGGGCUGGGGCGCAUGAAGACCAGCGCAGAGCUCCACGAGCAGGAAAAGCCGCCAAGCAGCCCCAGGCCGACUGGACCGGGCCGCUUAGGCCACGCCCGGGGAAGAGGGCCUGACGCGCUGCGGGGCGGGGCCGCGGGGCCGGGUCGCGCGAGCAGCGGAGCACCAAGGGAACGGAAAAUGGCGCCUCACGGCCCGGGUAGUCUUACGACCCUGGUGCCCUGGGCUGCCGCCCUGCUCCUCGCUCUGGGCGUGGAAAGGGCUCUGGCGCUACCCGAGAUAUGCACCCAAUGUCCAGGGAGCGUGCAAAAUUUGUCAAAAGUGGCCCUUUAUUGUAAAACGACACGAGAGCUAAUGCUGCAUGCCCGUUGCUGCCUGAAUCAGAAGGGCACCAUCUUGGGGUGAGGGGAAGACAUCCCUAGAUGCUGGAUACAGGCCAUUCCUUAGCCUGGCUGCUUUUAUACCCUUAUAUUAUUUAAAGAAUCCACCUAUUAUGGUUUCAGCUGUAGUCAUCACGCAGAUGUCUACCAAAACUA
rnacentral:sRNA from 1 species